UCUUCAGCGAGGAAUUCCUGGUAAGCGCGCGAGAGCAGUCAGCUCGUGCUGACCACGUCCCUGCCCUCUGUGCGCACAGCCCGCCGCUCCUGCCGACCGGCUGUGGCU
rnacentral:rRNA from 1 species